rnacentral:misc_RNA from 1 species
AAGUCGUAACAAGGUAACCGUAGGUGAACCUGCGGUUGGAUCAUUAUUGAAAUCCAAAACUUUACUUGAAUGUAGGGAAGGGAGAAAUAUUUUUCCCCCCGACCUACUUCAAAACCCCCCAAAACAUUUUCCCUCUAACCAAGGGGAAAACGAUCAAGUUAUUUAAAGCAAUUUAUUUACUUGAUGCGUGAACUUUAAAACAAUAGCUCUUCUUAGGAGGAGUUAUUUACUUGGGUAUUCAUCCCUUUAAAGGGGAGAGCAAUCUUUCUUUUAAAGAAAAAAAGGGUGUUGCCCUAUAAACCUAGAAAAAAAACAUUAUUUAAAACUAAUUUUUCUCUUUCAACUUAUCCUUCUCUUUUGAAGGAAAAGUGUAAUCGAAAAGAAAAACAACUUUUGACAAUGGAUCUCUAGGCUCUC